AUGGGGAUCCCGGCGCUAAUGCCUGUUGGGCACGUGGCUCAUCAAGGCCACGUCAUGUCAGCUCAAACGGCAGCAGAGAAGACCGCAUUAAAUGCGGAGGAGAGAGAGAGAGAAGAGAGAGAGAAGGUGAGACGUUUGAAACGGCCCACGAUGUGAACCGCUUCUCACGCUUCUCAACGGCCCAGUAACGGGCAGGCCGAACCAAAAGGGAAACGGUUCAGCUGAACCGUUCCAGCUUUAAGGAGUAAACCGUCUGCACGUUUCCCGAGGAGUCGCUGGCACGUUUCCCGAGGUGGUUCCAGGAGGUCUAUAAAUAGACGCCAUCUCUUUUUCAUCUCAGGAUGUAGCAUCAGUAGUAACAUCAGUGACCAGAGGGUACCAGAGGGUUGAGAGUGAGUUUUCAACAGAGUGAUCUCUACUUGUUGGUGAAGAACUAGUGAGUUCUUUGAGGGCCAAGAUUAGAGGUCUGUAUUCUGAUUUCUAGGGAGUGCUAUUCUGUACUUCUUCUACAUCUAGUGGAGUUUUUCAUCGCCGCCCGUAGACGUAGGAGGUCAACCUCCGAACCACGUAAAUCCUUGUGUCUCCAAUUGUGAGUUGUUCUUUUCGUUUCUGUCUUCUAACUUCCGCGCUAAGUCCAUAUUGGGCUUUCAUCUCUAACAAUGCCCUCGAGUGUAGAGUUCCACCCGCAGCAGUGGGUCAUAAAGCCCCCAAUUGAGGGGUGCGACAGGAUGAGCACCUGCGGCGCCCACCCUCUGAUGAUCAGGCUCCUACCCUUGGUUCUCUCCUCGAACCCUCCGGCGAGCCACUCUCCCAUCUGCACCGUCA
rnacentral:lncRNA from 1 species